CCUACGGGUGGCAGCAGUGAGGAAUAUUGGUCAAUGGGCGCUAGCCUGAACCAGCCAAGUAGCGUGAAGGAUGACUGCCCUAUGGGUUGUAAACUUCUUUUAUAUGGGAAUAAAGUGCAGUCUGUAUACUGCUUUGCAUGUACCUUAUGAAUAAGGAUCGGCUAACUCCGUGCCAGCAGCCGCGGUAAUACGGAGGAUCCGAGCGUUAUCCGGAUUUAUUGGGUUUAAAGGGUGCGUAGGCGGAAGGUUAAGUCAGCGGUCAAAUGUCGGUGCUCAACACCGGCCUGCCGUUGAAACUGGUCUUCUUGAGUGAGCGAGAAGUAUGCGGAAUGCGUGGUGUAGCGGUGACAUGCAUAGAUAUCACUCAGAACUCCGAUUGCGAAGGCAGCAUACCGGCGCUCAACUGACGCUGAGGCACGAAAGCGUGGGGAUCGAACAGGAUUAGAUACCCCUGUAGUC
rnacentral:rRNA from 1 species